rnacentral:rRNA from 1 species
CAAGGGGGGCUGCAGUGGGGAAUAUUGGACAAUGGGCGAAAGCCUGAUCCAGCCAUGCCGCGUGUGUGAAGAAGGCCUUCGGGUUGUAAAGCACUUUCAGUGGGGAAGAAAGCCUUGGGGCUAAUACCCUCGAGGAAGGACAUCACCCACAGAAGAAGCACCGGCUAACUCCGUGCCAGCAGCCGCGGUAAUACGGAGGGUGCGAGCGUUAAUCGGAAUUACUGGGCGUAAAGCGCGCGUAGGCGGUCUGAUAAGCCGGUUGUGAAAGCCCCGGGCUCAACCUGGGAACGGCAUCCGGAACUGUCAGGCUAGAGUGCAGGAGAGGAAGGUAGAAUUCCCGGUGUAGCGGUGAAAUGCGUAGAGAUCGGGAGGAAUACCAGUGGCGAAGGCGGCCUUCUGGACUGACACUGACGCUGAGGUGCGAAAGCGUGGGUAGCAAACAGGAUUAGAUACCCGGGUAGUC